rnacentral:rRNA from 1 species
AGAGUUUGAUCCUGGCUCAGGAUGAACGCUGGCGGCGUGCUUAACACAUGCAAGUCGAACGAGGUCCAUGGAGCUUGCUCCGGAAGAUCUAGUGGCGAACGGGUGCGUAACACGUGAGAAACCUGCCCCGAUCUCUGGGAUAACAGUUGGAAACGACUGCUAAUACCGGAUGCCGUCACACCGCUUCAUGGUGGAGUGACGAAAGAUUCAUCGGAUCGGGAGGGUCUCGCGGCCUAUCAGCUAGUUGGAGAGGUAACGGCUCACCAAGGCAUCGACGGGUAGCUGGUCUGAGAGGAUGAUCAGCCACACUGGGACUGAGACACGGCCCAGACUCCUACGGGAGGCAGCAGUGGGGAAUCUUGCACAAUGGGCGAAAGCCUGAUGCAGCAACGCCGCGUGCGGGAUGAAGGCCCUAGGGUUGUAAACCGCUUUCAGUAGGGAAGAAAAUGACGGUACCUACAGAAGAAGGUGCGGCCAACUACGUGCCAGCAGCCGCGGUAAUACAGAGGGUGCGGGCGUUAAUCGGAAUUACUGGGCGUAAAGCGCACGUAGUCGGCUUGCCAAGUCGGGUGUGAAAUCCCCGGGCUCAACCUGGGAACUGCAUCCGAAACUGGCUUGCUAGAGUAUGGGAGAGGGAGGCGGAAUUUCUGGUGUAGCAGUGAAAUGCGUAGAUAUCAGAAGGAACACCAGCGGCGAAGGCGCCGCUCUGGGCCGUAACUGACGCUGAGGAGCGAAAGCAUGGGUAGCAAACAGGAUUAGAUACCCUGGUAGUC